UAGUUACAUGCUUGUUUCAAAGAUUUAGCCAUGCAUGUUUAAGUAUAAAUGAUUUUACAGUGAAACUGCGAAUGGCUCAUUAAAUCAGUUAUAAUUUACUUGACAUUUAACUUACUACUUGGAUACCUGUGGUAAUUUUAGAGCUAAUACAUGCGUUAAAGCCUGACUUUUGGAAGGGCUGUAUUUAUUAGAUAAAAAACCAAUGCAGCAAUGCUUUUUUGGUGAAUCAUAGUAACUUGUCGAAUUGUAUGGCCUUGUGCCGGCGAUGCGUCAUUCAAAUUUUUGCCCUAUCAACUUUUGAUGGUAGGAUAGAGGCCUACCAUGGUUUUAACGGGUAACGGAGAAUUAGGGUUUGAUUCCGGAGAGGGAGCCUGAGAAACGGCUACCACUUUUUCGGAAGGCAGCAGGCGCGCAAAUUACCCAAUGGUGACACACCGAGGUAGUGACAAUAAAUAACAAUGCGAGCCCUUUUGGGUUUGCAAUUGGAAUGAGAACAACUUAAUAAACUUAUCGAGUAACAAUU
rnacentral:rRNA from 1 species